GUUUGAUCAUGGCUCAGAAUCAACGCUGGCGGCAUGCCUAACACAUGCAAGUCGAACGCGGUUACCUCGCAAGGGGNGACUGAGUGGCGAACGGGUGAGUAACACGUGGGUGACCUACCUUCGAGUGGGGGAUAACGUCCCGAAAGGGACGCUAAUACCGCAUGACAUCCUGCCUUUGAACAGGCGGAGAUCAAAGCUGGGGAUCGUAAGACCUGGCGCUUGAUGAGGGGCCCGCGUCCGAUUAGCUAGUUGGUGAGGUAACGGCUCACCAAGGCAACGAUCGGUAUCCGGCCUGAGAGGGCGGACGGACACACUGGGACUGAGACACGGCCCAGACUCCUACGGGAGGCAGCAGUGGGGAAUUGUUCGCAAUGGGCGCAAGCCUGACGACGCCAUGCCGCGUGGAGGAUGAAGGUCUUCNGAUUGUUAACUCCUGUUGCCANGGGACGAAUAGCUCCGACCUAACAC
rnacentral:rRNA from 1 species